rnacentral:rRNA from 1 species
AUUGAACGCUGGCGGAAUGCUUUACACAUGCAAGUCGAACGGCAGCACGGACUUCGGUCUGGUGGCGAGUGGCGAACGGGUGAGUAAUGUAUCGGAACGUGCGCAGUCGUGGGGGAUAACGUAGUGAAAAUUACGCUAAUCCCGCAUACGAUCUAUGGAUGAAAGCGGGGGAUCGGAAGACAUCGCGCGAUUGCAGCGGCCGAUAUCAGAUUAGGUAGUUGGUGGGGUAAAGGCCCACCAAGCCAACGAUCUGUAGCUGGUCUGAUGAGGACGAACAGCCACACUGGAACUGAGACACGGUCCAGACUCCUACGGGAGGCAGCAGUGGGGAAUUUUGGACAAUGGGCGAAAGCCUGAUCCAGCCAUUCCGCGUGCAGGAUGAAGGCCCUCGGGUUGUAAACUGCUUUUGUACAGAACGAAAAGGUUUCUACUAAUACUAGGAGCUCAUGACGGUACUGUAAGAAUAAGCACCGGCUAACUACGUGCCAGCCGCCGCCGUAA